rnacentral:rRNA from 1 species
CUGAAAUUCGCCUUCAUGAAGCCGGAAUUGCUAGUAAUGGCAGGUCAGCAUACUGCCGUGAAUACGUUCCCGGGCCUUGUACACACCGCCCGUCACACCAUGAGAGUUGGGAAUACCCGAAGCCUGUGAGCCAACGUAAGAGGCAGCAGUCGAAGGUAGAAUCAAUGAUUGGGGUGAAGUCGUAACAAGGUAAC